ACGCUGGCGGCAGGCUUAACACAUGCAAGUCGAACGGUAGCAGGAGAAAGCUUGCUUUCUUGCUGACGAGUGGCGGACGGGUGAGUAAUGCUUGGGAAUCUGGCUUAUGGAGGGGGAUAACUACGGGAAACUGUAGCUAAUACCGCGUAGUGUCGAGAGACGAAAGUGCGGGACCGCAAGGCCGCAUGCCAUGAGAUGAGCCCAAGUGGGAUUAGGUAGUUGGUGGGGUAAAGGCCUACCAAGCCUGCGAUCUCUAGCUGGUCUGAGAGGAUGGCCAGCCACACUGGAACUGUGACACGGUCCAGACUCCUACGGGAGGCAGCAGUGGGGAAUAUUGCGCAAUGGGGGGAACCCUGACGCAGCCAUGCCGCGUGAAUGAAGAAGGCCUUCGGGUUGUAAAGUUCUUUCGGUAUUGAGGAAGGAGUGUAUGUUAAUAGCAUACAUUAUUGACGUUAAAUACAGAAGAAGCACCGGCUAACUCCGUGCCAGCAGCCGCGGUAAUACGGAGGGUGCGAGCGUUAAUCGGAAUAACUGGGCGUAAAGGGCACGCAGGCGGUUAUUUAAGUGAGGUGUGAAAGCCCCGGGCUUAACCUGGGAAUUGCAUUUCAGACUGGGUAACUAGAGUACUUUAGGGAGGGGUAGAAUUCCACGUGUAGCGGUGAAAUGCGUAGAGAUGUGGAGGAAUACCGAAGGCGAAGGCAGCCCCUUGGGAAUGUACUGACGCUCACGUGCGAAAGCGUGGGGAGCAAACAGGAUUAGAUACCCUGGUAGUCCACGCUGUAAACGCUGUCGAUUUGGGGAUUGGGCUUAAAGCUUGGUGCCCGUAGCUAACGUGAUAAAUCGACCGCCUGGGGAGUACGGCCGCAAGGUUAAAACUCAAAUGAAUUGACGGGGGCCCGCACAAGCG
rnacentral:rRNA from 1 species